GUGGCUGUAGCUCAAUGGUUAGAGCACUAGCCUGUGGAGCUAGUGGUUGCCGGUUCGAGUCCGGUCAGUCACC
rnacentral:tRNA from 1 species